rnacentral:rRNA from 1 species
GUGAGGAAUAUUGGUCAAUGGGCGGAAGCCUGAACCAGCCAUGCCGCGUGAAGGACGAAGGCGUUCUGCGUUGUAAACUUCUUUUAUAAGGGAAGAAACCUGCGAUUUCUAUUGCAGCCGACGGUACCUUAUGAAUAAGCACCGGCUAACUCCGUGCCAGCAGCCGCGGUAAUACGGAGGGUGCAAGCGUUAUCCGGAUUCACUGGGUUUAAAGGGUGUGUAGGCGGGAUUGUAAGUCAGGGGUGAAAUCCUACAGCUUAACUGUAGAACUGCCUUUGAUACUAUAGGUCGUGAAUAUUGUUGAGGUGGGCGGAAUACAUCAUGUAGCGGUGAAAUGCUUAGAUAUGAUGUAGAACACCGAUUGCGAAGGCAGCUCACUAAGCAAAUAUUGACGCUGAGGCACGAAAGCGUGGGGAUCAAACAGGAUUAGAAACCCUUGUAGUCC